UGCUCCUUGUAAAGGGGCAUCUUGUACGUAUUUAUUAAAAACUGAAAAAUUUACAGUUUUUAAGAAAAAUCGAAAUUUCGGUAUUUUACCAUUAACAUGUACUUUAUUAAAUCGAAAAUCUUGCAUAACUUUUUUGUUAUUAACGAUAGAGCCUUCAUUUAAAAAGUGUCAAGUGCUCCUUGUAAAGGGGCAUCUUGUACGUAUUUAUUAAAAACUGAAAAAUUUACAGUUUUUGAGAAAAAUCGAAAUUUCGGUAUUUUACCAUUAACAUGUACUUUAUUAAAUCGAAAAUCUUGCAUAACUUUUUUGUUAUUAACGAUAGAGCCUUCAUUUAAAAAGUGUCAAGUGCUCCUUGUAAAGGGGCAUCUUGUACGUAUUUAUUAAAAACUGAAAAAUUUACAGUUUUUGAGAAAAAUCGAAAUUUCGAUAUUUUACCAUUAACAUGUACUUUAUUAGAUCGAAAAUCUUGCAUAACUUUUUUGUUAUUAAAGAUAGAGCCUUCAUUUAAAAGGUGUCAAGUGCUCCUUGUAAAGGGGCAUCUUGUACGUAUUUAUUAAAAACUGAAAAAUUUACAGUUUUUGAGAAAAAUCGAAAUUUCGGUAUUUUACCAUUAACAUGUACUUUAUUAGAUCGAAAAUCUUGCAUAACUUUUUUGUUAUUAAAGAUAGAGCCUUCAUUUAAAAGGUGUCAAGUGCUCCUUGUAAAGGGGCAUCUUGUACGUAUUUAUUAAAAACUGAAAAAUUUACAGUUUUUGAGAAAAAUCGAAAUUUCGGUAUUUUACCAUUAACAUGUACUUUAUUAGAUCGAAAAUCUUGCAUAACUUUUUUGUUAUUAAAGAUAGAGCCUUCAUUUAAAAGGUGUCAAGUGCUCCUUGUAAAGGGGCAUCUUGUACGUAUUUAUUAUAAACUGAAAAAUUUACAGUUUUUAAGAAAAAUCGAAAUUUCGGUAUUUUACCAUUAACAUGUACUUUAUUAAAUCGAAAAUCUUGCAUAACUUUUUUGUUAUUAAAGAUAGAGCCUUCAUUUAAAAGGUGUCAAGUGCUCCUUGUAAAGGGGCAUCUUGUACGUAUUUAUUAUAAACUGAAAAAUUUACAGUUUUUAAGAAAAAUCGAAAUUUCGGUAUUUUACCAUUAACAUGUACUUUAUUAAAUCGAAAAUCUUGCAUAACUUUUUUGUUAUUAAAGAUAGAGCCUUCAUUUAAAAGGUGUCAAGUGCUCCUUGUAAAGGGGCAUCUUGUACGUAUUUAUUAUAAACUGAAAAAUUUACGGUUUUUGAGAAAAAUCGAAAUUUCGGUAUUUUACCAUUAACAUGUACUUUAUUAAAUCGAAAAUCUUGCAUAACUUUUUUGUUAUUAACGAUAGAGCCUUCAUUUAAAAAGUGUCAAGUGCUCCUUGUAAAGGGGCAUCUUGUACGUAUUUAUUAAAAACUGAAAAAUUUACAGUUUUUGAGAAAAAUCGAAAUUUCGGUAUUUUACCAUUAACAUGUACUUUAUUAAAUCGAAAAUCUUGCAUAACUUUUUUUGUUAUU